rnacentral:tRNA from 1 species
GCCUGGGUGGCUCAGCCGGCUAAGCGUCCGACUUCGGCUCGGGUCAUGAUCUCGCGGUCUGUGGGUUCGAGCCCCGCUUCGGGCU